rnacentral:rRNA from 1 species
AACGAACGCUGGCGGCAUGCCUAACACAUGCAAGUCGAACGAGACCUUCGGGUCCAGUGGCGCACGGGUGCGUAACGCGUGGGAACCUGCCCUUAGGUUCGGAAUAACUCCCCGAAAGGGGUGAUAAUACCGGAUCAUGUCUUCGGACCAAAGAUUUAUCGCCUUUGGAUGGGCCCGAGUUGGAUUAGCUAGUUGGUAGGGUAAAAGCCUACCAAGGCGACGAUCCAUAGCUGGUCUGAGAGGAUGAUCAGCCACACUGGGACUGAGACACGGCCCAGACUCCUACGGGAUGCAGCAGAGGGGAAUAGUGGACAAUGGGCGAAAGCCUGAUCCAGCAAUGCCGCGUGAGUGAUGAAGGCCUUAGGGUUGUAAAGCUCUUUUACCCGGGAUGAUAAUGACAGUACCGGGAGAAUAAGCUCCGGCUAACUCCGUG